GAUGAACGCUAGCUACAGGCUUAACACAUGCAAGUCGAGGGACCGGCGCACGGGUGAGUAAGACGUAUCCAACCUGCCCUUUACUCGGGGAUAGCCUUUCGAAAUAAAGAUUAAUACCCGAUAUACUGGAUGGGGAUGCGUUCCGUUAGGUUGUUGUUGAGGUAACUGCUAACCAAGCCUUCGAUGGAUAGGGGUUCUGAGAGGAAGGGGCGCACGAUUGGAACUGAGACACGAUCCAAACUCGUACAGGAGGCGGCAGUGAGGAAUAUUGGGCAAUGAGCGCUGACCUGAGCCAGCCAAGUAAAGUGAAGAAGGAAGGCUUAGGGGUCGUAAACUUCUUUUAUAUAAGAAUAUGUAUUAUAUGAAUAAGGAUCGGCUAACUCCGUGCCAGCCGCCGCGGUAAUAC
rnacentral:rRNA from 1 species